rnacentral:precursor_RNA from 10 species
ACGAGAUCCCCUUCAAGAGGUCACUGCGGGGCUUAUGUUAUAAACGUCUUCCUUGAUUUAGUAUCGGAAGAUGUUUUUAAUGUAGGCUUCCGCUGUGACACAGUUUCAACACAAUCAUCU